rnacentral:tRNA from 1 species
AAAUAUGAAGUAUUAUACAUUUAGUUUCGACCUAACCUUUGGUAAUUUUUACCCAUAUUUA